GCUGGCAUAGCUCAGUUGGUAGAGCACGUGAUUUGUAAUCACGGGGUCGCGGGUUCGAUCCCUGCUGCCAGCACCA
rnacentral:tRNA from 2 species